rnacentral:tRNA from 1 species
AGUAAAAUCAGCUAACUAAGCUUUCGGGCCCAUACCCCGGCAAUGAAGGUUAAACCCCUUCUUUUACUA